GACCGCGUAGCUCAGUUGGAAGAGCAUUGGACAAGUAUUCCAAAGGUCGUAGGUUCGAAUCCCGCCGUGGCCA